ACGGAAGGCAGCAGUGAGGAAUAUUGGUCAAUGGUCGGAAGACUGAACCAGCCAUGCCGCGUGAAGGAUUAAGGCCCUAUGGGUCGUAAACUUCUUUUGUACGGGAGCAAUAAGAGCCACGUGUGGUUCGAUGAGAGUACCGUACGAAUAAGCAUCGGCUAACUCCGUGCCAGCAGCCGCGGUAAUACGGAGGAUGCAAGCGUUAUCCGGAUUUAUUGGGUUUAAAGGGUGCGCAGGCGGCACGUUAAGUCAGCGGUGAAAUGUCGGGGCUCAACCCGGGCACUGCCGUUGAAACUGGCGAGCUUGAGUACGGAUGAAGUCGGCGGAAUGUGAUGUGUAGCGGUGAAAUGCUUAGAUAUGUCACAGAACACCGAUUGCGAAGGCAGCUGACUAAUCCGCAACUGACGCUCAGGCACGAAAGCGUGGGGAUCGAACAGGAUUAGAUACCCUGGUA
rnacentral:rRNA from 1 species